AGAGUUUGAUCCUGGCUCAGAUUGAACGCUGGCGGCAGGCCUAACACAUGCAAGUCGAACGGUAGCACAAAGAGCUUGCUCUUGGGUGACGAGUGGCGGACGGGUGAGUAAUGUCUGGGAAACUGCCCGAUGGAGGGGGAUAACUACUGGAAACGGUAGCUAAUACCGCAUAACGUCGCAAGACCAAAGUGGGGGACCUUCGGGCCUCACACCAUCGGAUGUGCCCAGAUGGGAUUAGCUAGUAGGUGGGGUAAUGGCUCACCUAGGCGACGAUCCCUAGCUGGUCUGAGAGGAUGACCAGCCACACUGGAACUGAGACACGGUCCAGACUCCUACGGGAGGCAGCAGUGGGGAAUAUUGCACAAUGGGCGCAAGCCUGAUGCAGCCAUGCCGCGUGUAUGAAGAAGGCCUUCGGGUUGUAAAGUACUUUCAGCGAGGAGGAAGGCAUUAAGGUUAAUAACCUUGGUGAUUGACGUUACUCGCAGAAGAAGCACCGGCUAACUCCGUGCCAGCAGCCGCGGUAAUACGGAGGGUGCAAGCGUUAAUCGGAAUUACUGGGCGUAAAGCGCACGCAGGCGGUCUGUCAAGUCGGAUGUGAAAUCCCCGGGCUCAACCUGGGAACUGCAUUCGAAACUGGCAGGCUAGAGUCUUGUAGAGGGGGGUAGAAUUCCAGGUGUAGCGGUGAAAUGCGUAGAGAUCUGGAGGAAUACCGGUGGCGAAGGCGGCCCCUGGACAAAGACUGACGCUCAGGUGCGAAAGCGUGGGGAGCAAACAGGAUUAGAUACCCUGGUAGUCCACGCCGUAAACGAUGUCGACUUGGAGGUUGUGCCCUUGAGGCGUGGCUUCCGGAGCUAACGCGUUAAGUCGACCGCCUGGGGAGUACGGCCGCAAGGUUAAAACUCAAAUGAAUUGACGGGGGCCCGCACAAGCGGUGGAGCAUGUGGUUUAAUUCGAUGCAACGCGAAGAACCUUACCUACUCUUGACAUCCAGAGAACUUUCCAGAGAUGGAUUGGUGCCUUCGGGAACUCUGAGACAGGUGCUGCAUGGCUGUCGUCAGCUCGUGUUGUGAAAUGUUGGGUUAAGUCCCGCAACGAGCGCAACCCUUAUCCUUUGUUGCCAGCGGUUCGGCCGGGAACUCAAAGGAGACUGCCAGUGAUAAACUGGAGGAAGGUGGGGAUGACGUCAAGUCAUCAUGGCCCUUACGAGUAGGGCUACACACGUGCUACAAUGGCAUAUACAAAGAGAAGCGACCUCGCGAGAGCAAGCGGACCUCAUAAAGUAUGUCGUAGUCCGGAUUGGAGUCUGCAACUCGACUCCAUGAAGUCGGAAUCGCUAGUAAUCGUAGAUCAGAAUGCUACGGUGAAUACGUUCCCGGGCCUUGUACACACCGCCCGUCACACCAUGGGAGUGGGUUGCAAAAGAAGUAGGUAGCUUAACCUUCGGGAGGGCGCUUACCACUUUGUGAUUCAUGACUGGGGUGAAGUCGUAACAAGGUAACCG
rnacentral:rRNA from 1 species